rnacentral:pre_miRNA from 1 species
CAUGUACUCCCUCCGUUCCAAAUUACUUGUCUUGGAUUUGUCUAGAUACGGAUGUAUCUAGACUCAUUUUAGUGCUAGAUACCUCCGUAUCUAGACAAAUCUAAGACAAGUAAUUUGGAACGGAGGGAGUAUGUG